AGUGAACGCUGGCGGUAGGCCUAACACAUGCAAGUCGAACGGCAGCACAGUAAGAGCUUGCUCUUACGGGUGGCGAGUGGCGGACGGGUGAGGAAUACAUCGUAAUCUACUUUUUCGUGGGGGAUAACGUAGGGAAACUUACGCUAAUACCGCAUACGACCUACGGGGGAAAGCAGUGGAUCUUCGGGCCUUUCGCGGUUGAAUGAGCCGAUGUCGGAUUAGCUAGUUGGGGGGGUAAAGGCCCACCAAGGCGACGAUCCGUAGCUGGUCUGAGAGGAUGGUCAGCCACACUGGAACUGAGCCACGGUCCAGACUCCUAAGGGAGGCAGCAGUGGGGAAUAUUGGACAAUGGGCGCAAGCCUGAUCCAGCCAUACCGCGUGGGUGAAGAAGGCCUUCGGGUUGUAAAGCCCUUUUGUUGGGAAAGAAAAGCAGCAGGUUAAUACCCCGCUGUUCUGACGGUACCCAAAGAAUAAGCACCGGCUAACUUCGUG
rnacentral:rRNA from 1 species